GUGUCAGCCGCCGCGGUAAUACGGAGGGUACGAGCGUUGUUCGGAAUUACUGGGCGUAAAGCGCGUGUAGGCGGCCUUGCAAGUCGGGUGUGAAAUCCCGGGGCUCAACCCCGGAACUGCACCCUAAACUGCAGGGCUAGAGUCUCGGAGGGGGUGGCGGAAUUUCCGGUGUAGAGGUGUAAUUCGUAGAUAUCGGAAGGAACACCAGUGGCGAAGGCGGCCACCUGGACGAUGACUGACGCUGAGACGCGAAAGCGUGGGGAGCAAACAGGAUUAGAAA
rnacentral:rRNA from 1 species